rnacentral:rRNA from 1 species
UACGAAGGGGGGCUAGCGUUGUUCGGAUUUACUGGGCGUAAAGCGCACGUAGGCGGAUUGGUCAGUUAGGGGUGAAAUCCCAGAGCUCAACUCUGGAACUGCCUUUAAUACUGCCAGUCUCGAGUCCGGAAGAGGUAAGUGGAACUCCUAGUGUAGAGGUGGAAUUCGUAGAUAUUAGGAAGAACACCAGUGGCGAAGGCGGCUUACUGGUCCGGUACUGACGCUGAGGUGCGAAAGCGUGGGGAGCAAACAGG